rnacentral:lncRNA from 1 species
AUAUUAUUCUGAAUUAUACUUUUAUAUCUUACUAUAGCUAACAUCCUGUCGGGAGCAGGCUCAGGAUCCGGGAGUGAUCAGGAGGCAUCUUGUCACCUUCUGAACUUCAUGACUUCCUUCCCUUUAUGCCCAGAUUUACCCAGCCAAGAUAGCCCAGAGCGCAAGGAAAUGUUCCUUUUACUCUGUUUAUUGUAGUCCUAGUGGACAAAGUCCUAGGAACAGCAAGCUUGCAGGUCCCUGCCCCGCCCCCCCCCAGCCUCAUCAGUCAGCGAGCCUCAGAAUGGAAUAGAACAAGAAAUCACCAAGGACACCCCGCCCCAUCUCCUUGUCUGUAUUUCCCCUCCUCGCGCCUUAAACAAAGUGACACACAGGCUGCGGUGUUUUUCUCCACUCAGCAGGCGGGUGGACCCACCUGGUCCCGCCUUAAUUCUCUUGUUUUCUGCAGCUUCCAUUGCCCUACUCAGACCUCGGAUCCUUGCCAUGAAGGCCGUGGCUACGAACUAGAAUCAGAUUCCACGGUGAUAAGAACAAUGAAGAAAACACAGGAGAAUGGGAUAAAAUGGUGUCACUGAACAAACAGCAUCAUGCUUCCUCUUCUGAUCUGCAUUGCUGACAUCACCUCUCUGUACAGGAGCAGCUGUGUCUCCGACGUCAAGAGAAUAUUGACAUUGAAUCAAAUCUCAUAUAACUUUCCAAUAUUAUGCCACCAUCGUGCUUAAUUUUUGUUUGGAGUGUCAGUGUCCCCCUAAAAGAGUCCAUGUGAAAAGGAUUGGGUCCCAGCCCGGGGGUAUUGGGAGGUAGUGAACCUUCAGGAAGUAGGGCCUAAGGAGAAGUAUUUAGGGCAUUGUGGAUGCUCCCUCCGUAGGGGUUGUGGGAUUCCAGCCUUCUCCUGUCCUCUUCUCUUCCUAAUCUCGAACUGUGCAGCUGGCUUUGCCAUUCAUCCCUUGCCAUUGGAAUUCAGUCUGCUUGAACUUGGGCUGGAACUUCCAGAACCGAGCUAAACAAACCUUUUCUUUUAUAAAUUAGUUAUCUCAGGUAUUUGGG